rnacentral:rRNA from 1 species
CACCUACGGGUGGCAGCAGUGGGGAAUUUUGGACAAUGGGCGCAAGCCUGAUCCAGCCAUGCCGCGUGCAGGAUGAAGGCCUUCGGGUUGUAAACUGCUUUUGUACGGAACGAAAAGGUUCUUUCUAAUAAAGAGAGCUCAUGACGGUACCGUAAGAAUAAGCACCGGCUAACUACGUGCCAGCAGCCGCGGUAAUACGUAGGGUGCGAGCGUUAAUCGGAAUUACUGGGCGUAAAGCGUGCGCAGGCGGUUAUGUAAGACAGUUGUGAAAUCCCCGGGCUCAACCUGGGAACUGCAUCUGUGACUGCAUAGCUGGAGUACGGCAGAGGGGGAUGGAAUUCCGCGUGUAGCAGUGAAAUGCGUAGAUAUGCGGAGGAACACCGAUGGCGAAGGCAAUCCCCUGGGCCUGUACUGACGCUCAUGCACGAAAGCGUGGGGAGCAAACAGGAUUAGAUACCCUGGUAGUCCACGCCCUAAACGAUGUCAACUGGUUGUUGGGUCUUCACUGACUCAGUAACGAAGCUAACGCGUGAAGUGACCGCC